UCAUUCUUGGGAUGUUUAUUUUCAAAAUGUUGUUUAUACGUCUUGGGAUCUGGCAUCUGAGCCUAAUAAGAAUAAUAUUAUUACGAAUUAAAUACACUUGACCCAAAAAAAAAAAACUCAUCACGAACAUUCGAAAUUUACGACAUAUGGAUACCUGUCACCGACUUAGUCAAUUUAAUUAACAAAUUGCCGCGGCAUUAAAUUUUGUCAAAUCUUACCUGUGUACUCGAAAGUUUUACAGAAGCGGUUAUCCAACUCCAAGUACCGAUUACUCCGUUAUCUCAAAUUAUUAAUUAAUCAAAAAGGUCUCUAAGAGAUUAAUGGUGCGUAAAAAAUAUGUUUUUAAUUUAUAAUUAAAUAUGGAAAAUUAUUAAGCGACAAAAGCUGUGAGAAAAAAAAUUAUGAUGCUUUUCAUUCACGUUUUUAGUGAAAA